GUCAUUCUUUUGAUGGGAGUGGGACAGAAAUGAUAUUUUCGCAAAAUUUAUUUCGUCGUCCCACCCCAACUUGCAUUGUCUGUAGAAAUUGGGAAUCCAAUUUCUCUUUGUUGGGGCCCAUCCCCAACUUGCACAUUAUUGUAAGCUGACUUUUCGUCAGCUUCUGUGUUGGGGCCCUCACCCCAACUCGCAUUGCCUGUAGAAUUUCUUUUCGAAAUUCUCUGUGUUGGGGCCCCUGACUAGAAUUGAAAAAAGCUUGUUACAAGCGCAUUUUCGUUCAGUCAACUACUGCCAAUAUAACUUCGUAGAGCAUAGAAUAUUGAUUUAU
rfam:Staphylococcus aureus subsp. aureus NCTC 8325, complete genome.